ensembl:lncRNA
ACUGUUGUUUAGAAGCAGGUCAAAGUUGUUGGAGAAUGUUUGCCCCAGCCACAUGCUCUGAGCCAGUCAAACUACUUGUGGAUCUUCAUUCCCCUUUUACUGAUGUGGGUCAUCACCGCCUUCUACUUCCCAAAGAGAGAAAAAAGAUGGAUCCUCUUCCUCUACAAUCUACAGAUCCAGAAACUUUCUCCUUCAUCAAAAGACAAUGACAUCGGCUAAGAAAUCAAAAACAGACAUUUAUAAAGGUCAUACAUUCAGUGAAAGCUGAGAAAAAGCAUGAGACCAAGGCUGCAUCCAAAAUCGCGUACUUUCCCAGUAUAUAGUAGGCAAAUAACAGUAUGCAAACAGAGUAAUAUGUCCAAAUUCACAGCAUUUAUAAAACAGUAGGCAAAAAGUGCUGGGAUGACCUAUUAUUUCCAACAAGAUUCUGAAGUGUACAUCCAAUGGACACUUUACUGUCCCACAAGGCCACGGGAUAGGAUUUGUGAAUGGCAGUGAAACUGAAGCUGGUAGGUCACAUGAUAGUGACAACAUAACAAAUAGUA